rnacentral:rRNA from 1 species
UUGACCUCGGAUCAGGUAGGGCUACCCGCUG